rnacentral:rRNA from 1 species
GAUGAACGCUGGCGGCGUGCCUAAUACAUGCAAGUCGAGCGAACAGACGAGGAGCUUGCUUCUCUGACGUUAGCGGCGGACGGGUGAGUAACACGUGGAUAACCUACCUAUAAGACUGGGAUAACUUCGGGAAACCGGAGCUAAUACCGGAUAAUAUAUUGAACCGCAUGGUUCCAUAGUGAAAGACGGUUUUGCUGUCACUUAUAGAUGGAUCCGCGCCGCAUUAGCUAGUUGGUAAGGUAACGGCUUACCAAGGCGACGAUGGAUAGCCGACCUGAGAGGGUGAUCGGCCACACUGGAACUGAGACACGGUCCAGACUCCUACAGGAGGCAACAGUAGAGAAUCUUCCGCAAUGCGGCAAUGCGUAACGGUGCAACGCCGCGUAAGUGAUGAAGGUCUUCGGAUCGUAAAACUCUGUUAUUAGGGAAGAACAAAUGUGUAAGUAACUAUGCACGUAUUGACGGUACCUGAUCAGAAAGCCACGGCUAACUACGUG